rnacentral:lncRNA from 1 species
GAAAAUAGGGUUCUCCAGGUCGAAUGCAUAAAAGAUGAUAAAGCCAGAACAAAUAAGUGUCAUAAGAAGGAGAAAGUCGCUUAUGUUGAGGCAUCCAAUUAUUUGUCUGACAUAGGCGACAAGUGUGUCGAAGAGAGCGAGGUAGACAUGGCUGAACUUAAGCUAGGACCUCCCUAUGUAUGCAAGUUGAUGAGCCGUCGAAUGGAAAAAAUCUUGUCGAGCCCAACAAGAAUGAAAAAUAUGUCGCUAAAACUUAU